rnacentral:rRNA from 1 species
UACGUAGGGUGCGAGCGUUGUCCGGAAUUACUGGGCGUAAAGAGCUCGUAGGUGGUUUGUCGCGUUGUUCGUGAAAACUCACAGCUCAACUGUGGGCGUGCGGGCGAUACGGGCAGACUAGAGUACUGCAGGGGAGACUGGAAUUCCUGGUGUAGCGGUGGAAUGCGCAGAUAUCAGGAGGAACACCGGUGGCGAAGGCGGCAUCCUGGACCGACAUUGACGCUGAGGAGCGAAAGCUAGGGGAGCAAACGGG